UGUCAUUCUGCCAACACAAUGGUGAUACCUU
rnacentral:piRNA from 1 species